rnacentral:lncRNA from 1 species
CCGGAAGUCCGUAGCGUCAGUGCGUCGUUGAAGAGUUUACACCCCCCUCGGCCGCCGUAGGCUGAGGGAGCGCAGGAUGGGGGUCCUGAAGUGGAAGCCGGUCGCCCAAUCGCGAUGAGACCACCGUAGUAGCUGCUGGCCGACCUGGCCGUCGCCUUCAGAUCUCAGCAGCGACUCUGCUGCCCUCCCGCCUGACAGCCGCGCUUUCUGCUCUGCCCACAGUCGGUCACUCUGGGGACCUGGCCGGGUGACCACAGCGCAGUUUAUUAGCAGUUCUCGCUGGGUCUUACCCCGUCACGGUCCUGACUCCUCAGAACCAAAACAAUUACAUGAAGGAGGAAGUUUCAAGAUUGCAGCAUUAGCAUUUCUGGGGACAGCUUUGAUUGAAGAGUGAGGUUUCUGAAUAAGCAUUUAGAGCAGGCCUGGAAGACCCCACGGCAGAGCAUCCCAGUGACCAGCUAUUUUCCAAGAACAGAAGAAAAUGAUCCAGUCCCAGGUAACUGACUUGGGUUGUCCUCAUCAUUUCCUUUCUUCCCUAAAAGAUUUAUAGAAGUUUAUUUAAAAAAAUACCAAUUCAGUUAAUCUGAAAAGUGUAAAUUAAAAAAGUAGGCUCUGGGAAGGAGUACAAUUUCCAUUAUUAUUA